GACUCGCCCGUAUCAGAGUUCUCAUUUCCCAGUCCUCUAGCAGAAGGAAAAUUAAGCAACCCAAAGUUGAUAACUCCCUUUUCAUUUUCCACCGAUGCUCGAAUCGAUCCGAUUAUGCUCUUGUUCUCCUCUGUGCCUGGAUUAAGAUAGUGAGUUACAGACCACGAAAAUGAAAGAAAUAUUAGACACACAGAAAUUCUCAACUUGGCCAUUGC
rnacentral:misc_RNA from 1 species